CGCAUGGGUGCGUAACGCGUAUGCAAUCUACCCUAUACUGAGGGAUAGCCCGGAGAAAUUCGGAUUAAUACCUCAUAGCAUUUAUGAAUCGCAUGGUUUAUAAAUUAAAGGUUACGGUAUAGGAUGAGCAUGCGUCCCAUUAGCUAGAUGGUAAGGUAACGGCUUACCAUGGCGACGAUGGGUAGGGGGCCUGAGAGGGUAGUCCCCCACACUGGUACUGAGACACGGACCAGACUCCUACGGGAGGCAGCAGUGAGGAAUAUUGGUCAAUGGGCGCAAGCCUGAACCAGCCAUGCCGCGUGAAGGAAGAAGGAUCUAUGGUUUGUAAACUUCUUUUAUUUAGGAAUAAACUCUCGGACGUGUCCGAGCCUGAAGGUACUAAAUGAAUAAGCACCGGCUAACUCCGUGCCAGCAGCCGCGGUAAUACGGAGGGUGCAAGCGUUAUCCGGAAUCAUUGGGUUUAAAGGGUCCGCAGGCGGUCUUAUAAGUCAGUGGUGAAAUCUCGUAGCUUAACUAUGAAACUGCCAUUGAUACUGUAGGACUUGAAUUCGGUCGAAGUGGGCGGAAUAUGACAUGUAGCGGUGAAAUGCGUAGAUAUGUCAUAGAACACCGAUAGCGAAGGCAGCUCACUAGGCCUGGAUUGACGCUCAGGGACGAAAGCGUGGGGAGCAAACAGGA
rnacentral:rRNA from 1 species